CCUUCGGGUGAGUAGAGCGGCGGACGGGUGAGUAACGCGUGGGAAUCUACCAAGUAGUGGGGGACAACAGUUGGAAACGACUGCUAAUACCGCAUACGCCCUACGGGGGAAAGCGGGGGAUCUUCGGACCUCGUGCUAUUUGAUGAGCCCGCGUAAGAUUAGCUUGUUGGUGGGGUAAUGGCCCACCAAGGCGACGAUCUUUAGCUGGUCUGAGAGGAUGAUCAGCCACACUGGGACUGAGACACGGCCCAGACUCCUACGGGAGGCAGCAGUGGGGAAUAUUGGACAAUGGGCGCAAGCCUGAUCCAGCCAUGCCGCGUGUGUGAAGAAGGCUCUAGGGUUGUAAAGCACUUUCAGUAGGGAGGAAGGCCAGAGUGUUAAUAGCGCUUUGGAUUGACGUUACCUACAGAAGCAGCACCGGCUAACUCCGUGCCAGCAGCCGCGGUAAUACGGAGGGUGCAAGCGU
rnacentral:rRNA from 1 species